rnacentral:lncRNA from 1 species
CCUCCGCAGCCAGCUCACGUACUCCAUUCUCUACAUUAGCCCUGGCGUAUCCAGCGGGGCGAAACCCUCUCCCUCACUCGCUACGCCCGACUUUGACCGCCUCCUCGUCUCCGCUCCGCUCCCACGCCCGCCCCGCGGGAGAGAGGCGACCGGCGGCGCGCGAGGAGGGGCCUACCCCACCGUCUCACCACCCCGCCGGCGAAGAUGUUCGGCCGCGCCCCCAAGAAGAGNN